GAACGUGGAAGAGGGACGGUGGCACGUAACUUCUCCAGAGAAACCCCUCAUAAAUACGAGGUAACCUCCAAUGAACAUGGCCAACUAGACAGAUGUUCUUUGCGUGAACAGCAAAGCCUCUACAGGGGAAGUGAAUGUGCCAGCCCUUUGUUUUGCUAUGAGCAAUAUGCCACCUGAUGAAAUACUUACGUAAGCAGGAUGAGGGAAAGACAUGUCAGUAUCGGAGCACAUACAUCUUCAGUUCAAAGAGUGUUGUUGAGGUGGGACUUUGAAACAAGGAAAUUACACGUGGCUGCUGUGCUAUUCUGUUCCAGGUCACCACGUUCUGAUGUCAUCGGACUACUGAAUGCAUGAUGAGAGAACAGGAUUCAUAGUUUUUAAUCCUUAUAAAUGUUGAAGCAUGGGUGUUACUCCUGCUCCAGUCAAUGGGAUCUUCCACACAAAGACUGGACAGUGGAAAGUAGUUGAAGAACUCAGUCCAGAAAAAGCUGGUGUGUUGGUAAAGAGAGUGUAAGCACUGUAGCUAGAUCAUUCUCAUGGAAGGACCCUGAAAAUUAGUUUUUCUGCUGUACUUGGCUAUCACAAUUUUGUCUAACCUCCUUUCCUAGAACAAUUUCCACAGUUCGUGUGUAGGAAAGAAAAAUGAUGGGUGUGAGAGGCAUAUGUUUUAUUCUCUAUUGCACAGCUGUCUCUUGCAUUGCAGAGGACCACCUUCUGCUUCAAUAUUAAGGUUCCUGACUUGUGACAUCUGACUUCAGAAUGUUCCUGUGGAAAUACCAGCCAAACAACACUUAGGAACCCUGUUUUGAAACGUCCUCAUCUUGCUAGCCUUUGUUAGUAUCUCUGCACUAUUUUUAAUUACUAGUACAGAUAACUGCUCACCACAAUGAUCUGUACUGUUGGUAAGUAAAUAUUUUGUAAAUUAAAUUAUUACAAGUUUUUUGAUAUACAUCAUAUGCUCCUUUUAAGUUUUGCAUCCACAGCUCAUUAAAUGUGCAAAAGCUGGUAACAGAAAGAUGGUACGAAUUCCUGACAAUUUUUAAAACAGCCUCACCUAAAAUAAAUUCUACUUGAUUCUCUUAUUUUUAACUGAGAUUCAGAGUAGGCAAUGAAGCACAAAUAUUUAUAUGAUAGUUAAAAUGUUACCAUGUAAAGAUUUUGUAGAUCGUAUUUUCCGUUUCUUCUAUGGAUGUACUUUUACUGCCCAUAAAAAUAGAUAGCGACUCUCUUUCACAGUUUGCAGGUCGGUCAAAAAUUCAAGAAAGUACAGAAAUAAUACAUAUUUUAAAAAAUAAAAAAUAAA